GGCAAGCGUUGUCCGGAAUCAUUGGGCGUAAAGAGCGUGUAGGCGGCCCGAUAAGUCCGCCGGGAAAGUCCAGGGCUCAACCCUGGAAUGCCGGUGGAAACUGUCGGGCUGGAGUCCGGAAGAGGCGAGUGGAAUUCCUGGUGUAGCGGUGAAAUGCGCAGAUAUCAGGAGGAACACCAAUGGCGAAGGCAGCUCGCUGGGACGGUACUGACGCUGAGACGCGAAAGCGUGGGGAGCAAACAGG
rnacentral:rRNA from 1 species